UAUUGUUGUUGUUGUUUGUUGUUAACUUGAGACAAGGCAGGAGAUAUUAUUUGUUAUUUAUUAUUUAAAAGGACAGGCAGGAGUAUUGUUGUUGUUGUUAUUGGAGACAGGCAGGAGUAUUGUUGUUGUGAUUGGAGACAGGCAGGAGUAUUGUUGUUGUUAUUGGAGACAGGCAGUAUUGUUAUUAGGGAACAGAGUGGUAUU
rnacentral:lncRNA from 1 species